rnacentral:rRNA from 1 species
AUAAUAACUUUUCGAAUCGCAUGGCCUUGUUGUUGGCGAUGUUUCAUUCAAAUUUCUGCCCUAUCAACUUUCGACGGUAGGAUAGAGGCCUACCGAGUGGUUUUAACGGGUAACGGGGAAUUAGGGUUCGAUUCCGGAGAGGGAGCCUGAGAAACGCCUACCACAUCCAAGGAAGGCAGCAGGCGCGCAAAUUACCCAAUCCCGAUACGGGGAGGUAGUGACAAUAAAUAACAAUACAGGGGCUUUCUAGUCUUGUGAUUGGAAUGAGUACAAUUUAAAUCCCUUAACGAGGAACAAUUGGAGGGCAAGUCUGGUGCCAGCAGCGGGUAAUUUCCAGCUCCAAUAGCGUAUAUUAAAGUUGUU